rnacentral:rRNA from 1 species
UACGUAGGUGGCAAGCGUUGUCCGGAUUUACUGGGCGUAAAGAGCGCGCAGGCGGUCGUUCAAGUCGCGUGUGAAAGCCCCCGGCUCAACUGGGGAGGGUCACGCGAUACUGAUCGACUCGAAGGCAGGAGAGGGUAGUGGAAUUCCCGGUGUAGUGGUGAAAUGCGUAGAUAUCGGGAGGAACACCAGUGGCGAAGGCGACUACCUGGCCUGUUCUUGACGCUGAGACGCGAAAGCGUGGGGAGCAAACAGG